AGGUAGAUAUAUCUCUCCGAAUGAGGUCAUUCAGUACAUAGCUACAGACAUCUCCAAUCCUAACUUUAGCCCCCGGUGAUCAUUACACCUGGCGAUCUUUCUAAGCAGAACACCUGAGUCCAACUGGUCCUCACUUUGGUUUGUGACCAAGACUCUACCAACCGAUCUCAAUCCCUGUAGUAGGCUAAUGGACAGAUCGAUCUCCAACUUUGGCGGUAGAUGGCAGGUAUACUUUGGCCCCUAUCGAUCAUUAUCCCAGUGAAUAUAACUGGCCCUAGCCG
rnacentral:lncRNA from 1 species